GAUGAACGCUGGCGGCGUGCCUAACACAUGCAAGUCGAACGGUCUUUCGGGACAGUGGCGCACGGGUGAGUAAGACGUAGUUGACCUGCCCUCGGGACGGGGAUAACGUGGCGAAAGCGACGCUAAUACCCGGUAACAUCAGAGAGAUUAGAAGGCUCUGAGAAUAGGAUUUAUUGCCUGGGGAGGGGACUACGGCCCAUCAGGUAGUUGGUAGGGUAAAAGCCUACCAAGCCGACGACGGGUCGGGGGUCUGAGAGGAUGGCCCCCCACACUGGGACUGAGACACGGCCCAGACUCCUACGGGAGGCAGCAGUGAGGGAUAUUGCGCAAUGGGGGAAACCCUGACGCAGCGACGCCGCGUGGGCGAAGACGGUCUUCGGAUUGUAAAGCCCUUUUCUGUGUGACGAGUAAGGACGGUAGCACAGGAAGAAGUCUCGGCUAACUACGUG
rnacentral:rRNA from 1 species